rnacentral:rRNA from 1 species
AUUGAACGCUGGCGGCAGGCCUAACACAUGCAAGUCGAACGAGUGGCGGACGGGUGAGUAAUGUCUGGGAAACUGCCUGGUGGAGGGGGAUAACUACUGGAAAGGGUGGCUAAUACCGCAUACCAUCGGAUGUGCCGAGAUGGGAUUAGCUAGUAGGUGGGGUAACGGCUCACCUAGGCCACGAUCCCUAGCUGGUCUGAGAGGAUGACCAGCCACACUGGAACUGAGACACGGUCCAGACUCCUACGGGAGGCAGCAGUGGGGAAUAUUGCACAAUGGGCGCAAGCCUGAUGCAGCCAUGCCGCGUGUAUGAAGAAGGCCUUCGGGUUGUAAAGUACUUUCAGCGGGGAGGCGUUACCCGCAGAAGAAGCACCGGCUAACUACGUGCCAGCAGCCGCGGUAAUAC